GUCUGGUUAACAGAUUUAGGAGGUUAUAGCAGCCAUAUUGGAAGGUCUGGUUAACAGAUUUAGGAUGUUAUAAGCAGCCAUAUUGGAAGGUCUGGUUAACAGAUUUAGGAUGUUAUAGCAGCCAUAUUGGAAGGUCUGGUUAACAGAUUUAGGAUGUUAUAGCAGCCAUAUUGGAAGGUCUGGUUAACAGAUUUAGGAGGUUAUAGCAGCCAUAUUGGAAGGUCUGGUUAAUAGAUUUAGGAGGUUAUAGCACCCAUAUUGGAAGGUCUGGUUAACAGAUUUAGGAUGUUAUAAGCAGCCAUGUUGGAAGGUCUGGUGGGAACUACACAGGAGGCCUGAGACAGAGCAUUGACAGAGCAGCGCCUGGUUGACUUGAUCUAGUCCCAAAUGGCACCCUAUCCUCUACAUAGUGCACUACUACUUUUGAACUACGAAAGGUAACAGGGUUCCAUUUGGACCGUAACCUUGGAGACAGCCAGCUGUGUUUUCCCACAUCUCGCUGUGGUUUAUGGCUGUUCCCUGCUCUC
ensembl:lncRNA